rnacentral:rRNA from 1 species
UGCAGUCGAACGCGAAAGUUCCCUUCGGGGAGCAAGUAGAGUGGCGCACGGGUGAGUAACACGUAGGUAAUCUACCUUUGGAUGGGGAAUAACAACCGGAAACGGUUGCUAAUACCGCAUAAUGCAGCGGCACCUAAUGGUGACAGUUGUUAAAGCGGGGGAUCGAAAGACCUCGCGUCUGAAGAGGAGCCUGCGGCGGAUUAGCUAGUUGGUAAGGUAAUGGCUUACCAAGGCGAUGAUCCGUAGCCGGCCUGAGAGGGCGGUCGGCCACACUGACACUGACAUACGGGUCAGACUCCUACGGGAGGCAGCAGUCGGGAAUUUUGGGCAAUGGGCGAAAGCCUGACCCAGCAACGCCGCGUGAAGGAUGAAAUCCCUCGGGAUGUAAACUUCGCAAGAACGGGAAGAAUAAGUGAGGGUUAAUAUCUCUCGCGAUGACGGUACCGUUUGUAAGCUCCGGCUAACUCCGUGCCAGCAGCCGCGGUAAUACGGGGGGAGCAAGCGUUGUUCGGAUUUACUGGGCGUAAAGGGCGCGUAGGCGGCCACCGCAAGUCGAUUGUGAAAUCUCCGGGCUUAACCCGGAAAGGUCAACCGAUACUGCGGGGCUAGAGUGCAGAAGGGGCAACUGGAAUUCUUGGUGUAGCGGUGAAAUGCGUAGAUAUCAAGAGGAACACCUGCGGCGAAGGCGGGUUGCUGGGCUGACACUGACGCUGAAGUGCGAAAGCUAGGGGAGCGAACGGGAUUAGAU